rnacentral:rRNA from 1 species
UACGUAGGGGCAAGCGUUGUCCGGAAUCAUUGGGCGUAAAGCGCGCGUAGGCGGCCCGGUAAGUCCGUUGUGAAAGUCAAAGGCUCAACCUUUGAAUGCCGAUGGAUACUGCCGGGCUGGAGUCCGGAAGAGGCGAGUGGAAUUCCUGGUGUAGCGGUGGAAUGCGCAGAUAUCAGGAAGAACACCCGGUGGCGAAGGCGGCUCUCUGGGACGGUACUGACGCUGAGACGCGAAGCGUGGGAGCGAACGGG